AACCGCUGGGGGAAAGGCAGUCGGGAGCGGUGAUUAAAAUGGACACAAAUCCACUAAAGACUUCCAGGGAUGGCAUCCAAUUCCCCAGGACGCGGCUGCGCCCACAGUAUCGGUUUGGAAGUGAAAGAUGCCGCUUCCUAAACAAGUCGGCACGGGGGGAUUAAAUGGCACAUAUUUAAACGACGUGUCUUUAGAAUUAUUCGUAUUCGGAAUUAACCGUGGCUUAAGCACAGACGGAGCUCAUUUUCGUGUCGGGAACGCGAGACCUGCACGUCCCUGGCCGGCGUUAAACGAGUGGAGGAAUGCACCCGGUGUGGGUAUUGAUCACACGCAGCGAGCGCUGCCUGCUGCCUUUAAGCCCCGUUUCAUCUGAAUUCUCCCACCCUCCAAAUAAUAAUAAUAAUAACGACAACAAUAAAGCCCCC
rnacentral:lncRNA from 7 species